CACCUACACUGCUGCUAAAAUGAAUAUUGUUUAGAUGUAUUACUGCCAUUACACUGCUGUUCAUUGAUCACCAUUUACUCUAGAAAUAGAUAGUAUCUUUCUCCUGUUUACAUGUAUAUAGUCAGGUUACCAGUAACUCUAGAAAUAUAGUAUCUUACUCCUGUUUACAUGUAUAUAGUCAGGUUACCAGUAACUCUAGAAAUAUAGUAUCUUACUCCUGUUUAAAUGUAUAUAGUCAGGUUACCAGUAACUCUAGAAAUAUAGUAUCUUACUCCUGUUUACAUGUAUAUUACCAUAAGUAUUGAUAUAGUCGGGUUACCAGUAACUCUAGAAAUAGAUAAUAUCUUACUCCUGUUUACAUAUAUAGUUGAAGUCGGAAGUUUACAUACAUCGAAGCCAAAUACAUUUCAACUCAGUUUUUCACAAUUCCUGACAUUUAAUCCAAGUAAAAAUUCCCUGUCUUAGGUCAGUUAGGAUCAACACUUUAUUUUAAGAUUGUGAAAUGUCAGAAUAAUAGUAGAGAGAAUGAUUUAUUUCGGCUUUAUUUCUUUCAUCACAUUCCCAGUGCGUCAGGAGUUUACAUACACUCAAUUAGUAUUUGGUAGCAUUGCCUUUAAAUUGUUUAACUUGAGUCAAACUUUUCGGGUACCCUUCCACAAGCUUCCCACAAUAAGUUGGGUGAAUUUUGGCCCAUUCCUCCAGACAGAGCUGGUGUAACUGAGUCAGGUUUGUAGGCCUCCUUGCUUGCACACGCUUUUUCAGUUCUGCCCACACAUUUUCUAUAGGACUGAGGUCAGGGCUUUGUAAUGGCCACUCCAAUACCUUGACGUUUUUGUCCUUAAGCCAUUUUGCCACAACUUUGGAAGUAUGCUUGAGGUCAAUGUCCAUUUGGAAGAUCCAUUUGCGACCAAGCUUUAACUUCCUGACUGAUAUAUUGACUGAUAUAUUGCUUCAAUAUAUCCAUAUAAUUUUCCUGCCUCAUGAUGCCAUCUAUUUUAUGAAGUGCACCAGUCCCUCCUGCAGCAAAGCACCCCCACAACAUGAUGC
rnacentral:lncRNA from 1 species